AGUGAACGCUGGCGGUAGGCCUAACACAUGCAAGUCGAACGGCAGCACAGUAAGAGCUUGCUCUUACGGGUGGCGAGUGGCGGACGGGUGAGGAAUACAUCGGAAUCUACUUUUUCGUGGGGGAUAACGUAGGGAAACUUACGCUAAUACCGCAUACGACCUACGGGUGAAAGCAGGGGAUCUUCGGACCUUGCGCGAUUGAAUGAGCCGAUGUCGGAUUAGCUAGUUGGCGGGGUAAAGGCCCACCAAGGCGACGAUCCGUAGCUGGUCUGAGAGGACGAUCAGCCCCCAUUGGACUGGGACCCCGUCCAGACUCCUACGGGAGGCCGCCGUGGGGAAUAUUGGGACAUGGGCGCAAGCCUGAUCCAGCCCUACCGCGUGGGUGAAGAAGGCCCUCGGGUUGUAAAGCCCCUUUUGUUGGGAAAGAAAAGCAGCAGGUUAAUACCCCGCUGUUCUGACGGUACCCAAAGAAUAAGCACCGGCUAACUUCGUG
rnacentral:rRNA from 1 species